rnacentral:rRNA from 1 species
AGAUUGAACGCUGGCGGCAGGCCUAACACAUGCAAGUCGAGCGGCAGCACGGGUACUUGUACCUGGUGGCGAGCGGCGGACGGGUGAGUAAUGCCUAGGAAUCUGCCUGAUAGUGGGGGAUAACGCUCGGAAACGGACGCUAAUACCGCAUACGUCCUACGGGAGAAAGCAGGGGACCUUCGGGCCUUGCGCUAUCAGAUGAGCCUAGGUCGGAUUAGCUAGUUGGUGGGUAAUGGCUCACCAAGGCGACGAUCCGUAACUGGUCUGAGAGGAUGAUCAGUCACACUGGAACUGAGACACGGUCCGGACUCCUACGGGAGCAGCAAGUGGGAAUGUUGGACAAGU